CAGCAGCCGCGGGAAUACAGAGGGUGCGAGCGUUAAUCGGAUUUACUGGGCGUAAAGCGUGCGUAGGCGGCUUCUUAAGUCGGAUGUGAAAUCCCUGAGCUUAACUUAGGAAUUGCAUUCGAUACUGGGAAGCUAGAGUAUGGGAGAGGAUGGUAGAAUUCCAGGUGUAGCGGUGAAAUGCGUAGAGAUCUGGGGGAAUACCGAUGGCGAAGGCAGCCAUCUGGCCUAAUACUGACGCUGAGGUACGAAAGCAUGGGGAGCAAACAGGAUUAGAUACCCCCGUAGUCCCUGUCUCUUAUAC
rnacentral:rRNA from 1 species